ACAACUGUCCUGGGGUGGCGUAACAGCCUGAGAUUACACCCGUUAACCUGAUCUGGAUAAUACCAGCGGAGGGAGACAGUCACUUCUCAA
rnacentral:ncRNA from 2 species